GUUGCUACUGCACACAAUUCUCUUCGCGGUGACAUGUCAUGGCGGAAGGAGCAGCAGGCAGUCAUAGCGUGACCUUAAUUCUUUCGAUCGUAAUCGACUUCUGACGGUAGUUAUAUCUAUUCGAUGCCCAUCGCAUCCGCGCCAAGCAGCGUUAUAUGCGAAGAAUAAAAUUUAUCACGAAAGUGAUCGCCGCUUUCACCAGGCACAGGAUGAGAGACUGAAGUUGUUAACGUUAACGUAACGAAACGUCAGGAAAAAAAUCGUCGUUGUUAGGCAAUUUUAGAGUGACUUUUAAGGAGUUAGUAACGUUACUAUAACGAUGCAUGUUUGGAAAAAAGCUCUACUUCGCACCUUUAGGAAUUUUGAAAUUCAAGUGAAACAUCAUACAA